rnacentral:rRNA from 1 species
UAGGGAAUCUUCGGCAAUGGGGGGAACCCUGACCGAGCAACGCCGCGUGAGUGAAGAAGGUUUUCGGAUCGUAAAGCUCUGUUGUUAAGGAAGAACGAGUGUGAGAAUGGAAAGUUCAUGCUGUGACGGUACUUAACCAGAAAGGGACGGCUAACUACGUGCCAGCAGCCGCGGUAAUACGUAGGUCCCGAGCGUUGUCCGGAUUUAUUGGGCGUAAAGCGAGCGCAGGCGGUUAGAUAAGUCUGAAGUUAAAGGCAGUGGCUCAACCAUUGUAGGCUUUGGAAACUGUUUAACUUGAGUGCAGAAGGGGAGAGUGGAAUUCCAUGUGUGACGGUGAAAUGCGUAGAUAUAUGGAGGAACACCGGUGGCGAAAGCGGCUCUCUGGUCUGUAACUGACGCUGAGGCUCGAAAGCGUGGGUAGCAAACAGG